UUCCCUCCUGGUUUCCCUGGUCUGGUUCCCUCCUGGUUUCCCUGGUCUGGUUCCCUCCUGGUUUCCCUGGUCUGGUUCCCUCCUGGUUUCUCUGGUCUGGUCCCCUCCUGGUUUCCCUGUCCAGUUCCCCCUUGGGGCUGUUCCCACUUGGGAUCCCGGGAGGCCCCUGGGGGAGGUGAGGGGAAAAUGGGGUUGCAGAAGCUCUGUGCUGCUGGGUGAAGGGUUGUAUGACCUGAGGGUGUUUCACAGGAAUUGGGAUGAUGCAAACCCCACAGCUCUUCAUUUUCCCCUCCCUCCCCCCCUCCAGACCUGUCUGUGCUCCCCAGCAUCCUCCCCUCUGCCAGGAGCAGAGUCCUUUGGGUUUUGCCCAUCCAAGGAGUGGCUGUGCCUGCACUCCUGCCUCUGCUUGAGCUCUGGGGAGGGUUUGCUGCUGACUCCAGCCGAGCCAGGACACUGUGCAGAGCAGAGCCAGGCACUGAUGCAAUCCAGAGUUGCUGUGCUGGCACUGCCAGGGAGUCACGCUGGAUUAGCCGGGGUCAGAGGCUGGGUUAAUCCCUGGUGCUAUUCUGGGCCGGGAUCAUGGUAUGAAUUGCCCUAUAUAAACCCUCCCAGGGUGCUGGGGCAGCGAUGUUUUGUGAUCCCACUGGGCAGCAUCCAGGUGUUUUCCCCCUCUGCCCACCUUGCACACAGUAGAGACGGCUCUAGAUCCGUGUCCUCGGUUCUGCCUUGGCCUUACACCAGAUUUAUCACUGUGCAAUAAACUCCAGUGGCACUCAGGUUCCUCCUGGCUGUGCCCUGGUGGGAGGGAGGCUGGGGUUGGGCUCUCUUGGCACAGCUCAGGCUUCAGGAACCACGUCUGCGCUGCCUCAGUGCUCCCAAGGGCUGUCACACUGAGCUCUCCUUAACUCAGCACCUCAUUCGUGGCCUUCCCUCCCUGUCCCAGAAACCAAAUCCUCCUCUGGAAUCAAUGCACAAGGAUUUUUGAAGAUGGGAGAAGCUCUGAGCCGGGGGGUUUUUGGGCUG